rnacentral:rRNA from 1 species
GAUGAACGCUGGCGGCGUGCCUAAUACAUGCAAGUCGAGCGAACAGACGAGGAGCUUGCUCCUUUGACGUUAGCGGCGGACGGGUGAGUAACACGUAGGUAACCUACCUAUAAGACUGGGAUAACUUCGGGAAACCGGAGCUAAUACCGGAUAAUAUUUCGAACCGCAUGGUUCGAUAGUGAAAGAUGGCUUUGCUAUCACUUAUAGAUGGACCUGCGCCGUAUUAGCUAGUUGGUAAGGUAACGGCUUACCAAGGCAACGAUACGUAGCCGACCUGAGAGGGUGAUCGGCCACACUGGAACUGAGACACGGUCCAGACUCCCACGGGAGGCAGCAGUAGGGAAUCUUCCGCAAUGGGCGAAAGCCUGACGGAGCAACGCCGCGUGAGUGAUGAAGGUCUUCGGAUCGUAAAACUCUGUUAUUAGGGAAGAACAAACGUGUAAGUAACUGUGCACGUCUUGACGGUACCUAAUCAGAAAGCCACGGCUAACUACGUG